UUCCCUAACUCCUAAUCCUAUCCUAGCGCAGCCACUCUCUCUCUCAAAGAAGCCCCAUUACUCCCAACCCCUCAUAGUCGCGUCUCCCCAUCCUAGCCCCGCCUCCCCAUCCCAGCCCCGCCUCCCACUCUCCCAUCGCCUCGCAGCCCCUCCUAGUCCCGCCGACCAGCCACUCCCAGUCUCGCGAAACCAGCGCCUCGUAGCCCCUCCCAGCAGCGCCUCCUAGCCCCUCCAAGCAAUGCCGUGCCGGACCAGCGCCCAGCAGCGACGUUCAGUCCUUCCUAGUAGCGCGAACCCAUCAGGCAUCAGCGACGUUCAAUCCCUCCCAGCAGCACGAACCAGCGAAACCAGCCCCUCCCAGCAGCGCCGAACCAGCACCUCCCAGCCCCUCCCAGCACCUCCGAGUGCCGGACACCAGAUUUGAAGCCUCCAAGUAAGAUUUUAUGCAUUCAGUGAAAAGAGUUCAUAUGAAAAACUUUGGAGAACCUAUCAAACUGCAGAAAUUUACAGGAUACAAAAACAAAAAAUAGCAUAUAAAUGGUCAUGAAAGAGAUUGUGUUCUGAUGAUGCAUUGGUGCUGUGCCGGUUCCUCUUCCAAAUGAAUCUACGAGCAUUAGAUCUCCGACUGCAUUGCCUGUUGCACCAGUCCUCGUAGAAACACUGGAAAUUUAUAUUUAUUUUAUGUUGUGUUGACUACUAAACUUUUAAACUUCUUUAAUUAUUGCUUGUUAAUUUUUGUCAUUGAAUUUCAUUGGAUUAAGACUUUGUUAGUUAUUGUAUAUUUGUUUGUUGAUUUCAA